rnacentral:rRNA from 1 species
AUGGCCGGAAUUGUCCACAAAGAGUUUGCUGAGUUGGCCCAAACGGGGAUGAACUACCUGUCAUGGGCUUCGGACUGUGAGAUUUUUCUCCAGGGCAGAACCCUCCUGAGGGCGAUCGAUAAGGGGACCCAGCUGGCCCCCACCGAUCCCAAGUUUGAAACUGAGAAUGCGCAGGCUCUGCAUUUUCUCCGUCAUCACCUGUCACCUACUCUGAAAGAUGAGUAUAUGGCUGAACGGAGUGCUUCUGGCCUUUGGACCGCUCUUAAGCAGCGGUUUGAGCGGCUGAAGUACGCUGUUAAGCCACGUGCAGAGGCAGAGUGGAUCCGUCUGAGGUUUGAAGAUUGAGAAACCCUAUCCACUUUCCACCCUGACGCGGUCCUGUCCGCACGGAACUACCGCCAGGGAAACUACACGAGGUAUUCAGAGUUGAUUGAUGUCCUCCAGGUGGCAGAGGCGCAGGACGAGGUUCUGAAAAAGAACUUUGCCGCGCAACCACUUGGGAAGAAGAGGGGCCGCAAGGGCAAGAAGAAGGGCCCUCAGCCCUCCGCCCCGGCUAAGCAGCAAAAGCCGGGCAAGGGGGGCAGAGGCCUCAGGACUGCUCGGUGUGGCUCGGUGGAGCAUUUCUCCCGCCAGUGUCGCGCACCACAGGAGGUCGUUGAUGCAUAUAAGGCCCGGAAGGCGCGUGAGAUGCACCUCGCCUUGGUUCAGGAGGGAGCACCACUGGCGCCCAUGGCGGCACUGUAA